rnacentral:ncRNA from 1 species
CGGCACUCUGGAGACGCCCGCCUCGCGGGGGCCGAAGGUGAAAGCCGGGCACGCUGUGCCGGGUGAAUCUCUCAGGCAAAAGGACAGAGC